UUAAGCGACUAAGCGUACACGGUGGAUGCCCUGGCAGUCAGAGGCGAUGAAGGACGUGCUAAUCUGCGAAAAGCGUCGGUAAGGUGAUAUGAACCGUUAUAACCGGCGAUGUCCGAAUGGGGAAACCCAGUGCAAUUCGUUGCACUAUCGUUAACUGAAUACAUAGGUUAACGAGGCGAACCGGGGGAACUGAAACAUCUAAGUACCCCGAGGAAAAGAAAUCAACCGAGAUUCCCCCAGUAGCGGCGAGCGAACGGGGAGCAGCCCAGAGUCUGAAUCAGCUUGUGUGUUAGUGGAACGGUCUGGAAAGUCCGACGGUACAGGGUGAUAGUCCCGUACACCAAAAUGCACAGGCUGUGAACUCGAAGAGUAGGGCGGGACACGUGGUAUCCUGUCUGAAUAUGGGGGGACCAUCCUCCAAGGCUAAAUACUCCUGACUGACCGAUAGUGAACCAGUACCGUGAGGGAAAGGCGAAAAGAACCCCGGCGAGGGGAGUGAAAAAGAACCUGAAACCGUGUACGUACAAGCAGUGGGAGCACCUUCGGGUGUGACUGCGUACCUUUUGUAUAAUGGGUCAGCGACUUAUAUUCUGUAGCAAGGUUAACCGUAUAGGGGAGCCGCAGGGAAACCGAGUCUUAACUGGGCGUUAAGUUGCAGGGUAUAGACCCGAAACCCGGUGAUCUAGCCAUGGGCAGGUUGAAGGUUGGGUAACACUAACUGGAGGACCGAACCGACUAAUGUUGAAAAAUUAGCGGAUGACUUGUGGCUGGGGGUGAAAGGCCAAUCAAACCGGGAGAUAGCUGGUUCUCCCCGAAAGCUAUUUAGGUAGCGCCUCGUGAAUUCAUCUUCGGGGGUAGAGCACUGUUUCGGCUAGGGGGUCAUCCCGACUUACCAACCCGAUGCAAACUACGAAUACCGAAGAAUGUUAUCACGGGAGACACACGGCGGGUGCUAACGUCCGUCGUGAAGAGGGAAACAACCCAGACCGCCAGCUAAGGUCCCAAAGUCAUGGUUAAGUGGGAAACGAUGUGGGAAGGCACAGACAGCCAGGAUGUUGGCUUAGAAGCAGCCAUCAUUUAAAGAAAGCGUAAUAGCUCACUGGUCGAGUCGGCCUGCGCGGAAGAUGUAACGGGGCUAAACCAUGCACCGAAGCUGCGGCAGCGACACUAUGUGUUGUUGGGUAGGGGAGCGUUCUGUAAGCCUGCGAAGGUGACCUGUGAGGGUUGCUGGAGGUAUCAGAAGUGCGAAUGCUGACAUAAGUAACGAUAAAGCGGGUGAAAAGCCCGCUCGCCGGAAGACCAAGGGUUCCUGUCCAACGUUAAUCGGGGCAGGGUGAGUCGACCCCUAAGGCGAGGCCGAAAGGCGUAGUCGAUGGGAAACAGGUUAAUAUUCCUGUACUUGGUGUUACUGCGAAGGGGGGACGGAGAAGGCUAUGUUAGCCGGGCGACGGUUGUCCCGGUUUAAGCAUGUAGGCUGGUUAUCCAGGCAAAUCCGGAUAAUCAAGGCUGAGGUGUGAUGACGAGGCACUACGGUGCUGAAGUAACAAAUGCCCUGCUUCCAGGAAAAGCCUCUAAGCAUCAGGUAACAUUAAAUCGUACCCCAAACCGACACAGGUGGUCAGGUAGAGAAUACCAAGGCGCUUGAGAGAACUCGGGUGAAGGAACUAGGCAAAAUGGUGCCGUAACUUCGGGAGAAGGCACGCUGGUGUGUAGGUGAAGUCCCUGCGGAUGGAGCUGAGACCAGUCGAAGAUACCAGCUGGCUGCAACUGUUUAUUAAAAACACAGCACUGUGCAAACACGAAAGUGGACGUAUACGGUGUGACGCCUGCCCGGUGCCGGAAGGUUAAUUGAUGGGGUUAUCCGUAAGGAGAAGCUCUUGAUCGAAGCCCCGGUAAACGGCGGCCGUAACUAUAACGGUCCUAAGGUAGCGAAAUUCCUUGUCGGGUAAGUUCCGACCUGCACGAAUGGCGUAAUGAUGGCCAGGCUGUCUCCACCCGAGACUCAGUGAAAUUGAACUCGCUGUGAAGAUGCAGUGUACCCGCGGCAAGACGGAAAGACCCCGUGAACCUUUACUAUAGCUUGACACUGAACAUUGAGCCUUGAUGUGUAGGAUAGGUGGGAGGCUUUGAAGCGUGGACGCCAGUCUGCGUGGAGCCAACCUUGAAAUACCACCCUUUAAUGUUUGAUGUUCUAACGUUGGCCCCUGACCGGGGUUGCGGACAGUGUCUGGUGGGUAGUUUGACUGGGGCGGUCUCCUCCCAAAGCGUAACGGAGGAGCACGAAGGUUAGCUAAUCCUGGUCGGACAUCAGGAGGUUAGUGCAAUGGCAUAAGCUAGCUUGACUGCGAGCGUGACGGCGCGAGCAGGUGCGAAAGCAGGUCAUAGUGAUCCGGUGGUUCUGAAUGGAAGGGCCAUCGCUCAACGGAUAAAAGGUACUCCGGGGAUAACAGGCUGAUACCGCCCAAGAGUUCAUAUCGACGGCGGUGUUUGGCACCUCGAUGUCGGCUCAUCACAUCCUGGGGCUGAAGUAGGUCCCAAGGGUAUGGCUGUUCGCCAUUUAAAGUGGUACGCGAGCUGGGUUUAGAACGUCGUGAGACAGUUCGGUCCCUAUCUGCCGUGGGCGCUGGAGAAUUGAGGGGGGCUGCUCCUAGUACGAGAGGACCGGAGUGGACGCAUCACUGGUGUUCGGGUUGUCAUGCCAAUGGCACUGCCCGGUAGCUAAAUGCGGAAGAGAUAAGUGCUGAAAGCAUCUAAGCACGAAACUUGCCCCGAGAUGAGUUCUCCCUGAGACUAUAAGUCUCCUGAAGGAACGUUAAAGACGAUGACGUUGAUAGGCCGGGUGUGUAAGCGCAGCGAUGCGUUGAGCUAACCGGUACUAAUGAACCGUGAGGCUUAACCUU
rnacentral:rRNA from 1 species